rnacentral:lncRNA from 1 species
GGGAAGGAGGAAGAAGAAAGAGAGGAGGAGGGGGGAGGAAAGGAAAGGAGGAAGGAGAGAGGAGGAAAAGAGGAGGAAGGAAAGGGAAAGAGGAAGAAGAGAAAAAGGAGGAGGAAGAAGAGAAAAAGGAGGAGGAGGAAAAGAGAAGGAGGGAGGAAAGGGAGGAAGAAGAGAAAAAGGAGGAGGAGGAAAAGAGGAGGAGGAAGGAAAGGAAAGGAGGAAGAAGAGAAAAAGGAGGAGGAGGAAAAGAGGAGGAGGAAGGGGAGGAGGCCUCUGCCAGCCACCAUGGGCACUGGUGAAAUGCUGUUCUGACUCCCUCCAACAGGGUCCCUCUCUCCUCUGCAGCUGGGGCUGCCCUAGCCUCCUGGCUGGUGCUCAGGCUUAUUUCCUACUGAUGGGGGGCACCUUUGCCUUCUCCCCGGGCACCCCAAGCUCCCUCAACAUGUGCAGAUCAGGCCAGCUUUCCUCCCAAAGCCAGACUCUCCUCCUGGAUCCCUGCUGUUCUCCCAGUCACCCAGGAAUAAGCUGGGAAUCCUCUUCAGGAUCCCAUACACUCCAUUUGUCCCCAGGCCUCUUCAUCCCUCUCUGGUCCGGCCAUCCUGCCUCUGUUCUUGGAGCCAGAGCACCUGCCUUCUGGGGGUGCCUCCCACCUGGCAGCCCUAGACCUGGCAUCUUCCCAUCCUUGCCUCAGUCUCCCUGGCUUCCUUAAGACUCAGCUCAAAGCCCCUUCCUUUUCCCUCCCUCCCUUCCCAAUGAGCUUACUCCCCCAUUCACAUUCUCCUGCCCUCUGGGGUUGGGCCCCAUCCCAGGCCAGUCAGUUGUCAUUGUCAUUUCUGCCUCUGCAUGUGGCACCAGCUCUUUUGCCUCCAUCAUUUAUCCUCUGCUAAGUGGUCUUUCUCCUCAUCCUCGCCAGGUCAUAAGCUUGAGGGCAAAGACUCUCCUAGCUGAGGCAGCCACUUGUCCUAGGGCACAGAGGACAUAAGCUCCAAUCCAGCCUCAAGACACUUACUAGUUGUGUG